GUAGGAGUGAGCCUGCUCGCGAUAGCAGUUUGUCAGGUAACAGAUUCAUCGACUGACACACCACAAUCGCGAGCAGGCUCACUCCUAC
rnacentral:misc_RNA from 1 species